GAUGAACGCUGACGGAAUGCUUAACACAUGCAAGUCAACUUGAACUUCGGUUUGGGUGGCGGACGGGUGAGUAACGCGUAAAGAACUUGCCUCACAGAUAGGGACAACAUUUGGAAACGAAUGCUAAUACCUGAUAUUAUGAUUAUAUGGCAUCGUAUAAUUAUGAAAGCUAUAUGCGCUGUGAGAGAGCUUUGCGUCCCAUUAGCUAGUUGGAGAGGUAACGGCUCACCAAGGCGAUGAUGGGUAGCCGGCCUGAGAGGGUGAUCGGCCACAAGGGGACUGAGACACGGCCCUUACUCCUACGGGAGGCAGCAGUGGGGAAUAUUGGACAAUGGACCAAGAGUCUGAUCCAGCAAUUCUGUGUGCACGAUGAAGUUUUUCGGAAUGUAAAGUGCUUUCAGUUGGGAAGAAAAAAAUGACGGUACCAACAGAAGAAGUGACGGCUAAAUACGUG
rnacentral:rRNA from 1 species